CGCGUAGGCGGUUUGGUAAGUCGGAUGUGAAAGCCCCGGGCUUAACCUGGGAAUUGCAUUCGAUACUGCCUGACUGGAGUGUGGUAGAGGGAAGCGGAAUUCCGGGUGUAGCGGUGAAAUGCGUAGAGAUCCGGAGGAACAUCAGUGGCGAAGGCGGCUUCCUGGACCAACACUGACGCUGAGGUGCGAAAGCGUGGGGAGCAAACA
rnacentral:rRNA from 1 species